rnacentral:rRNA from 1 species
UACGGAAGGCAGCAGUGGGGAAUAUUGCACAAUGGGCGAAAGCCUGAUGCAGCUAUGCCGCGUGUAUGAAGAAGGCCUUAGGGUUGUAAAGUACUUUCAUCGGGGAGGAAAAAACAAAACUAAUAAUUUUAUUUCUUGACGUUACCCGAAAAAGAAGCACCGGCUAACUCCGUGCCAGCAGCCGCGGUAAUACGGAGGGUGCUAGCGUUAAUCAGAAUUACUGGGCGUAAAGAGCACGUAGGUGGUUUUUUUAAGUCAGAUGUGAAAUCCCUGGGCUUAACCUGGAACUGCAUUUUGAAACUGAAAUACUAGAGUAUCGUAGAGGGAGGUAGAAUUCUAGGUGUAGCGGUGAAAUGCGUAGAUAUCUGGAGGAAUACCUGUGGCGAAAGCGGCCUCCUAAACGAAUACUGACACUGAGGUGCGAAAGCGUGGGGAGCGAAACAGGGAUUUAGAUACC